rnacentral:misc_RNA from 1 species
CACAAUAAACAUAUGAAGGCUGCACCGCCAACAGGCGGCAAGGCUGGAGUAUUUUAUUACCCUUGUCUUUUGCGCACUUGUUGUUUCCUGGGCGGGUUCGCCCGCCUCCAGGACCACAUGAUAAACCUUUUUUAUGCAGUUGCAAUCAGCGUCAGUACAACAAAUGUAGAUCAUUUA